GUCUCGGGUUUCAAAAACGUUGCUGUGGAAAUUGUCUUGACAACAUGGUCUAACUGUACUUUUCCCUCAUUGAUUGCAAUACUUUUGCAUGUCAGUGAUAUGUAGUCAAUGGAAAUAAUCGGAUUUGGAUUUAUUGAAUACUUUUUUUCUAAACUCAAAUAUUCAGUGUUCUCCUCUUGUCUUGUCGCUGGGAAUCCUCAUGUUUCCAUGGUAAUCUGACUGGCAAAAGUGAUGUCAAAGCUUCAGGGAGAGGAGAGGAGUAGACUUGCACAAAGCUUUCCUCGCACCGUCAGCGUCUCAGCUGAGUAGUGUUUUUCGAACGCGGUAUGCAAAACAUCAUGGAAUCUUGAGGAGGGUGAAUGAGAGAAAUCAUUCUUGAGUGUACUAGAGCGCGAAUGGUGGGUGAUCAGUCAGUCGGCAGUCGGCUGCAAUGUCGAACAAGCCCAAUGAGAAGGACAUGACGCAGCGAUUCCACGGCCAUAAGGGGAAAUGCUGACUGCAAUGUGAUACCAAAUCAUUCAGGGGAUCUACAAUGCUGAGGACACCCCUAGUUGACUGAUUGCAGAAGUUGCUUGCUUUUGGCAUUAUACACAACUUUUUGUAGACUCAUUUGGAACCCAAAUGGUCACCAUUUCUGCUUUUUUUUCUCUGCUUUUCCAAGACACAUUAGCUGGACUGAAAUAUACUUUUACUGUAUUGAAGACCUGGUUAAAUAGAUGUUCCCUUGUGAAGUAUGUUCGGGGUGUUUCUUUAGUGAACUUAUAAGAUAAAGUUAAACCUUGAUGCAUUUUUGCCUUACUUUGCAAGCCAUAUUGGUUUGUGUAAGGAUCCAGAAAUACUAUGCAUGAUAUGAUUAAUCACCAGUGCUUUCAAGCAUUUCAUCACUAGUGUGUAUGUCUGUCUUUUUGUCUUGCAUUCAUUUAGCAACUUGCCAUAUUUCCAGUGUGAAGAUUUGUGGUUACAAAAGCACAGUAAAGAUUACCAUCUCCUAUUCACA